rnacentral:rRNA from 1 species
GACGAACCGUGCGAACGUUAUUCGGAAUCACUGGGCUUAAAGCGCGUGUAGGCGGGCCGGCACGUCGGUCGCUGAAAUCCCCCGGCUCAACCGGGGAAGCGGCGCCGAUACGACCGGCCUCGAGGGACGUAGGGGGGGGCUGGAACUUCCGGUGGAGCGGUGAAAUGCGUUGAGAUCGGAAGGAACGCCCGUGGCGAAAGCGAGGCCCUGGACCCUUACUGACGCUGAGACGCGAAAGCCAGGGAGCGAAGCGGG